CCUACGGGAGGCAGCAGUGAGGAAUAUUGGUCAAUGGCCGGAAGGCUGAACCAGCCAUGCCGCGUGAAGGUCAGUGCCCUAUGGGCGUUAAACUUCUUUUGUGCGGGAGCAAUAAUGGUCACGUGUGGCCAGAAGAGAGUACCGUACGACUAAGCAUCGGCUAACUCCGUGCCAGCAGACUCGGUGAUACGGGGGAUGCCAGCGUUAUCCGGGUUUAUUGGGGUUAAAGGGGUCGUAUGCUGUGAGGUAAGUCAGCGGUGAAAUGCCCCCGCUCAACGGGGUGAAGUGCCAUUGAUCCUGCCGUGCUGGAAUGCGGAUGUCGGGGGAGGAAUGUGGGGUGUAGCGGUGAAAUGCAUAGAUAUCACACAGAACACCGAUUGCGAAGGCAUCUCACGAAUCCGCGAUUGACGCUGAUGCACGAAAGCGUGGGUAGCAAACAGGAUUAGAUACCCGAGUAGUC
rnacentral:rRNA from 1 species